rnacentral:misc_RNA from 1 species
GACGAACCGAGCGAACGUUAUUCGGAAUCACUGGGCUUAAAGGGUGCGUAGGCGGCUAUCCAGGUCUGAUGUGAAAUCUCACGGCUCAACCGUGAAAUUGCGCUGGAAACCGGAUGGCUUGAGUAUGCUAGGGGUGUGUGGAACUUCCGGUGGAGCGGUGAAAUGUGUUGAUAUCGGAAGGAACGCCGGUGGCGAAAGCGACACACUGGGGCAUAACUGACGCUGAGGCACGAAAGCUAGGGUAGCGAACGGG